rnacentral:rRNA from 1 species
CAGUAGCCGCGGUAAUGCGAAGGGUGCAAGCGUUAAUCGGAAUUACUGGGCGUAAAGCGUGCGUAGGCGGUGAGCUAAGUCUGCUGUGAAAUCCCCGGGCUCAACCUGGGAAUGGCAGUGGAUACUGGCUCGCUAGAGUGUGUCAGAGGAUGGUGGAAUUCCCGGUGUAGCGGUGAAAUGCGUAGAGAUCGGGAGGAACACCAGUGGCGAAGGCGGCCAUCUGGGACAACACUGACGCUGAGGCACGAAAGCGUGGGGAGCAAACAGGAUUAGAUACCCCGGUAGUCCCUGUCUCUUAUAC